ACUACACACCGUGACCCCCAAUAGAGCCAUGUGAGAGUUGGGUUGGCUACACCAAAGAUUAUGGAUAUACUGACAAGAUGUCUCUCCGUCCUGACAAGGGGAGUCGUUGUCCACAAAGCUGCACUGUGGGUUGUCUAUCUCCCGCCUAUCCUGUCUUUGGAUUGGUGGAUACAUCUUAUUAUUGUAAUCUAUUGUUUAUAUUCUAUGAGGGUUGUUGUCGUCAACCGCCUGUAUUCAAUGGAGAGAGAUGCUAAGCUACUAGCAUGAAUAUGCAUAGCGAUCUGGAGACAACUCCAAAAGUGUUUUUAUCAAAGUUGUCGGUAUGUCACAUGUCCACAUAACAACUUAGUCAUUACGAAACUUCUGUUAGAUCAAGUAAACCUCAUGUGGCAAAUAAGCCAUUCAUUUUGUUGUUGACCAAAUUCAACACUUUCCACAUUGGGUUGAUAAUUGUUUCCACUUGGAUACAGCCUACUGAAACCUACUGGCAUGACCUAGAGUUACAACCUACUGUAACCUACUGGCAUGACCUAGAGAGUUACAACCUACUGUAACCUACUGGCAUGAUCUAGAGAGAUACAACCUACUGUAACCUACUGGCAUGACCUAGAGAGAUACAACCUACUGUAGCCUACUGGCAUGACCUAGAGAGAUACAACCUACUGUAAC